rnacentral:misc_RNA from 1 species
CGUAGGUGACCUGCGGAAGGAUCAUUACCGAGUGAGGGCCCUCUGGGUCCAACCUCCCACCCAUGUUUAUUGUACCUUGUUGCUUCGGCGGGCCCGCCUCACGGCCGCCGGGGGGCUUCUGCCCUCUGGCCCGCGCCCGCCGAAGACACCAUUGAACACUGUCUGAAGAUUGCAGUCUGAGCAAUUAGCUAAAUAAGUUAAAACUUUCAACAACGGAUCUCUUGGUUCCGGCAUCGAUGAAGAACGCAGCGAAAUGCGAUACGUAAUGUGAAUUGCAGAAUUCAGUGAAUCAUCGAGUCUUUGAACGCACAUUGCGCCCCUUGGUAUUCCGGGGGGCAUGCCUGUCCGAGCGUCAUUGCUGCCCUCAAGCACGGCUUGUGUGUUGGGCCCCGUCCUCCUUCCCGGGGGACGGGCCCGAAAGGCAGCGGCGGCACCGCGUCCGGUCCUCGAGCGUAUGGGGCUUUGUCACCCGCUCUUGUAGGCCCGGCCGGCGCUUGCCGACAACCAUCAAUCUUUUUUCAGGUUGACCUCGGAUCAGGUAGGGAUACCCGCUGAACUUAAGCAUAUCAA